GGUGUGGUAACCUUCAGAUUAACCUCACCACCUGUUGUGUCUCUCUCUCUAAUAUGAAAGACAGCAGCUCUAUAGUCCUCUACUAUGACUUUACAUUCUUUUAAAAGAAUAGAAAGGAGAAUUUCAGAUUGGAAACUACCUAAACAACACAACAAAAGUGGUUGGAACCAGAAGAUACAACAUACUGGCAGCCAAGAUAUCUGAAAUAACAAUCACAGGUAUAUAUGCUUCGACCAAAUUCUGGCAGUUUAGUAGACCUAUGUUAACUUAAAACCUGCUUGCAAAAGAUAGGUUUGUGUCAUCACAAUGCUGGAAUUAGUCAGACUGUGGAUAUCGCUGGCUGGACCAGCAUUUAUCGCCCUUCCAUGGUUGCCCUCGAAGGUGGUGGCUGCUGAUUUUUGGACCACUGAAGUCCAUUUGGUGCAGAUAUACCCACAAUGCAGUUGGUGGCAAGGGGGAAAGAGUUCCAAGAUUUUGACCCAGCAACACUGAAGGGACUGUGACAUAUUUCCAAGAAUGGAGCGUGCGUAGUUUGGAGGGAAACUUGCAGUUGGUGGUGUUCCUGUAUCUAAUGUUCAUCUUUCUGGAUGGUAGUGAUCAUAGGUUUGGAAGGUGCCGUCUUAGCUGCCUGGGUGAAUUUCUGUAGUGCAUUUUGGAGAUGAUGCAUACUUCUGAGCAUCACUAGUGGAGGGACUGAAUGUUUGUGGACAUGAUGCCAAUCAAGCAGACUGUUUUGUCCUUGACUAUGUCAAGUUAGAGCUGAAAAUGGGGAAAGUAAUCAAAAACUAUGGGGUUGAAACUAAACUCUAGAAUGAGAGUUCAGGGUGCACUUACCAUUUACAAAAUGAUACACAAGGUUUAAAAAAAACUUAAGGAAAAAGAAUUUUGCCCAACUACAGAAAUCAAUAGACACAAAAUUGAGAACAAGCAAUCCUUAGUAAAAGGUUAAAAACUACUACUUAUC